rnacentral:lncRNA from 1 species
GUUUUAUCUUUCUGUCACCUUCUCUUCCUCUGUCACCUUCUCUUUCUCUGUCACAUCUUUUCAAUCAACUGUGCCCACACAGAUGCCAGGAUGAGUACAUUUACCAGGUAAGAGUAUAAAACACUGAUUUCCUAACUGAUACACAGGUGAGACAGGCAGGACAAACAAGCUACUAGGUUAAGUGUUGAUCCCAUCCUCUAAUCCUUCUGAUGAGAUGCUUCAGUCCUUUUGGUGAGGAAGACAAUGGUUCAAACAGAUUGAUCCAUUUUGUGGAUGAGAUGUUUUUCUUCUGACUCCCUUACAAUUGUAACAGUUUUCAGUCCAGAGUUUUAUAUUUUAAAUCUUUGAGCUACUAUUGUUAUAAUUUAAAUAUUUGCUGUUACUAUCUAAAUUGUCCCAUCUUUAUCUGUGAUUUUGCUUCUGUUAUUUUACACUGUUCUAGCCUGUAUGCUUCCUUUCUGCUUUUUCUCAUCUCUGUCUUAUCAGAAGUCUAAGCUGGAGUUAGACAGCUGUACUGUGUCCAAACCAGAAUCUGGAUCACACACAGCUGAAACCCUGGAAGGAGGAUUACAGGAUAAACAUACUUGCUUCAGUAAGAAAAUAAUGAUGCAAAAAGCCAGCUUGUGUUACAACAGCUCCACAGAACAAAGAAUAAAGGACAUUUGGUGCCAGUCUUGCCGUGACUCCUCACAAAGGACACUGAAGAGAGCCAUAAACAGAAGAGAGACAUUGGCUUCCUGUUCCAGCCACUUGUCCUCAGCAGUCUAAAAUCAGCAUGAUGAACCUUUCAGCUGUUGCUGCAAUAUGCUACAGAAGUGGAGGCCUUCUGUCAACUUCUAGAAGAGUUACUGGAAGAUCAGAAAGACCACAUUAAUUUAUCUGUCUAUCCCCUGACUAGAGGAUGAAUCUGAAAAUUUAAAAAUGUUCCUUAAAAUAUAGAGUCAAAAUAACUGUUUUAAGUGUGACAUUACCUUUUUUCAACUAGCAACUGUUCCUCUCUCUUUGCAGCAGAGUUAAUUUUGCUUUUAUUACGACCAUGGGUGCAUGACUGUUUCAAAAUAUUGGGAAAGGGCAAUGAGCCAAAAUCAUUAUCUUCACUUGAAGAGUUUAAUGCCAAAUGUAAAUAUUGGAGGGGCUUGAGUGCCCAAGCCAUCCCUCAAGGCUUUAUGCAUCUGAUUAUAAAUGUCCCUGCUGCACUGUCAGCUAGUCACCAUCACGACUUCAGUCCAGUGUUGUCAAGGAAAUAACAACCUACAGUCUUCCACUGCUUAUCAGUAUAAAGACAGCACUUAAAUAACACAUGGGUUGACUUCCCCUCAAAUACUCCUGUAUAAUUGAAAUUGUUAAUAGACAAUUAGAAAAAUCAGAAAUAAAAAUAUAAUUCAGAAUGGUUUAGAUGAUAAU